rnacentral:rRNA from 1 species
UACGAAGGGAGCUAGCGUUGUUCGGAAUCACUGGGCGUAAAGCGCACGUAGGCGGAUGUGCCAGUCAGGGGUGAAAUCCCGGAGCUCAACUCCGGAACUGCCUCUGAUACAGCACGUCUUGAGUCCGGAAGAGGUGGGUGGAAUUCCUAGUGUAGAGGUGAAAUGCAUUGAGAUCGGAAAGAACACCAACGGCGAAAGCACUCUGCUGGGCCGACACUGACACUGAGAGACGAAAGCUAGGGGAGCAAAUGGG